GCUAUAAUGUGUUUAAAUCGUACGAUAAGAAACUAACCUGAUUUUAGCGAAGAAAUCCUAAUUUCUGUUGUUAGUAGAGGAUAGGUCUAUUUUCUGG